UUUCCGUAGGUGAACCUGCGGAAGGACCAUUAACGAGUAAGGGUCAUUCUGGCCCGACCUCCAACCCUUUGUUUAAUUACCAUGUUGCUUUGGCGGGCCCGUUUCCCGACCUCCGGAAGUCCUCGGAAUUUUCACCCUUUCCCGCCAAUAGCCUUCUACAAACUCUUGAUCAAUUAUGAUGUCUGAGUAAUAAAUUUAAUAGUUAAAACUUUCAACAACGGAUCUCUCGGUUCUG
rnacentral:misc_RNA from 1 species